rnacentral:rRNA from 1 species
UACAUAGGUCCCAAGCGUUGUUCGGAUUCACUGGGCGUAAAGGGUGCGUAGGCGGCCGGGUAAGUCUGAUGUGAAAUCCCGCAGCUCAACUGCGGAACUGCAUCGGAUACUCUCCGGCUAGAGGAAUGGAGGGGAGACUGGAAUUCUCGGUGUAGCAGUGAAAUGCGUAGAUAUCGAGAGGAACACCAGUGGCGAAGGCGAGUCUCUGGACAUUUCCUAACGCUGAGGCACGAAAGCCAGGGGAGCAAACGGG